AUGGCUAACUGUAACAGUAACGUUAUGGUUUUUCACACUCAAAUAGCCUCCAUCAUGGAGGUGUUAGCGAAUGCAGCUGUUGCAGAAAUCUGUAAACUCGUAGACGACGACUAUGCAGUGUUUCGUUUGGAAAUAACUCAAAGCCAGAAAGAAACCAGGACAUUGCGGAGGAAACUACAGCAAGUAGAAAUGAAGGUGGCACGGGAGCGCGUCCCCGCCAGUCCGAAUAGUGUCAAGUUCCUCGACCGAUACAGAGGAAUGGCAAGAGGUAAAGGACAUCUCACUGAAGGCCACAGGAGCUUUGUGAAGCCAGCGGAACACAACGCUUGGAGAGAUGACCAACCCAUAGCUAUAGAUGAGGGGAGUGGAACCUCAACCCAGCAGGUUAUCGUGAUAGAGUCAGCAGAUGCAGAGGCUGCAGGUCUUGGGGUCAAGCAGAAGGGGUAUGAAAGAGAGGAGGACCCACGACACAGCAGAGACAUCGAGACUGGAGCAGCGGCGAAAGUGACGCCCCCUGUAGCCACGGAGCACCUCGCCACCGCCACAGCGCCCCAGGCCAGGACCCUACGCAGCAUCACGGAGGUCAGUGGAACGCCGAACGCCGUCCUCAAAUCAGAGACUUUAACUGCAACACACAGGCUCUUACACACAGGAUCUGACCACAGAUCAGACCCAGAGAGACUGAGGCUGGAGCGACUGCGCUGUCCUCCUGCUCCCAGCUCAGAGUAUUUACUUUACGGUAACCCGAGCCCUAGGAUGGUUCAUUCCCAUCGGGACUCAGGUGACGCGUUAGAGACUGGCAAUGAUCCGUUUUGUUCUUACACUACAGAGAUGUACUCUGGCAACAUGCCCUUGGGUUUAAAGACACAGACUGAUCUGUCUAGAGGGGACCAGAACCGGUACAGUAGUAGUGGAUACUCUGAAGGGUUCCUAGAUAAGAAAGGGGAUGGUCUGAUCGUAGAUGAGGUGACUGUGAAAGUGGAGGGCAAAGCUCCUCUGACAUGGAAUGUAGACGAUACUCACUUAGAAGAAGGACACUCACAGGGCAGAGAUUUCUUAGAUUACAGGGACAGCUUAGAGAAAAAUCUAAAUGUCGCCACUCACUCCUCUUUAUACACGCUCAAGGAUCGGGAAUCAUUGUCCACAUCGAUUGGGCCUUCCAAUUCACACAGCUGUGUCCUUUUCGAUCAGUUAUUGAACUCAAAGGACCAAAGGGCCAAUGCUCAAGGAGGGGGAGCAACAUCAGGUGACAGUAAAGAAAAACGGUUCCUCUGCAUGUUCUGUAACAAAGGCUUCAGCUGCUCCCAGAAGGUGGAGGUCCACCAGAGGGUCCACACAGGUGUGAAACCCUUCAGCUGUACCAAGUGUCACAUGCACUUUGCCCACCCUAGCAGCCUGAAGAGGCACCAAAGGGUACAUACAGGGUUGAAACCAUUCAGCUGUACCCAGUGUCACAUGCGCUUCGCCCAGACUGGUGACCUGAAGCGGCACCAUAGGGUCCACACAGGAGAGAAACCCUACAGCUGCCCCCAGUGUGAGAAGAGAUUCUCCCACCAGCACCAUCUAAAGACUCACCUGAAGGUCCACACGGGAGAGAGGCCAUUCAGAGAGUAAUUAAGGAUACUCCAUCAGAAAAAACAUUCCACUAUAACAUAGAAACUAACCAUUCCACUCAAUAGCUUCUGACUUUUACGUCAAACCCUGCAUUAAAGACAAAGAUACAUUUUCAAUGUUAUCAGCAGAAAAGAUCCACAGAUGCAUUUCAAAUAACAAGAGUAACAGAUUUUCAAUUUAGAAUAUUCCUGGGUAAAAUAUUGCAUCCAGACAUUGUGUGAGAUAAAAGCAUAUAUAAGCCUAAAAAGUCUGUUACAUAUUGUGUUUGUACUGUAUAGGCCAGGGAUUCUCAACUGGGGGGUCGGUAGUAUUUUAAGGGGUCGUGGGACUUUUGCAAGAAUAUAAAACAUUUAAUUAAAAAAAAUAUUUUGAAAGGUAACUGCCACACUGAAACUUUUAUUUUGAAAGGAUACGGCCUCACUGCUUAUUGUUGCUAACUUUACAUGUGCAGCACGUCAGCAGUGUUGAAAUGGCUUGUUAGGUUUGGACUUGGAGGGUUUUCGAGCUGCACACAUUCACUGACCCCCGCACACACACAGAUCCAAUGAAAUGUCACUCUGCAACAUCGUUUUGUUUUAAAUGUGACAUGUCCAAUCCAUAGGCGGAAAUCCCAGGGGGGACGGGGGGGACACGACCCCCCCAUCCUGGGGAAAAUAUGAUUUGUCCCCCCCAAUAUAUCACUGUAAACAUAACUAUGUAAUUUCAAUAAUAUUAAUAAUACGCAAUGAAAGCACUUGUACUGAUUAUAGACACUUAAUAGCGCGUUUUUAAAUUUCACAAGAUUGCGACCCCCCCGCCCUUUGCCUCACAAUGGUUUGAUCCACUGCCAGUUCUUUAGCUGGCAAGGUAAUAGAGGGCUCGUAUCUACUGUCCGAAAGGCACUCAAUGUACGUAACUGACGUGAGGCAGAGCAGGCAACAGAUGGCACACAGACAGCAGAGCUGGGGACAGAUAUGCAGGGACAGACUGGCAGAGACAGGGAGUCUCAGGUAAGUUUGUUGAGUCUUUGUUUGGCAACAUUAUGAAAGGUUCUCAAUUUUUUUGAUUUGUAAAAUAGGGACAUAAUUGGAAAAUGCCAUGAAUACUGUUGAUGACACAAGUUUACUGGAGAACUGAGACGAAGUAGAGACUCUGGACAGGGUGGAUAUUCGUAUAAUAAAAAGCAGUUUUAUUCAGAGGUAAAGAUAUCUGAUACAAGCAUGCUUGGACUCGUUCAUUCGGCUCGUAAGGAACCUGCAGACAGAGCCCAGAUAACAGAAAUACAUAGUCAUUUUAUACAGCACAGAAAGUAGGUUGAGUCUGGAAGUUCUGGUCUUCUGGUUGGUUCUGAUGAGUUGGGCGAGGUCUCCUUCAGGCUAGUAUCACUGUCCCAUUGGCUCUGAGUAGAGUUCUUUGUCUUCAAAAAUGUUCAGACUGAAGAGGAGUUUUUGUGUGUGCGUAGAUGUUCCUGUCUUAUCUGUGUUUAUGAAAGAUUUACGUCAGCCCUCAGUCCUUGGUUAUGUGUGUGUCUCAUUAUCUCGUGGGAAGCCGUACCAAGCACUCUUGUUCAAGGCCUUCCCUGCCUUAUCAGUGUUUAUGAAUGUUCUGUGUCAGCCAUCUGUCUCUGGUGUGUGUGUGUGUCUCAGUUUCUGCUUGUGAGUAUGUGAGAGAACCUUGUUUAAGAAAGAAGUUAGUUAUAACAAUGUAAUAGCAAUAUGCUUGUGUUAUUACAAUGGUAUUUCUUACAAUACCCCCACUCUCAAUUUAAACUGGUGACUGAACCAAGAUUUGUUUAAGGCAAUGGUAUUGCUGUUGUGAUUAAUUGUGUAGUUUUGGGUACCGGUAGUUAGGAGUACAGCAAACACCUUAUUUCUUUUCUAGGAGACAGACUGUGAGUCAGUGAGGGUGGUGAAAGGGAAAGAGCUAAGGAGAGAGACUUGACGACAGUGUCACAGCCACGGCAGGACCAGGUGUCACCCUUGUUGCCAGCAGCACCAGUAUAGGGGACAGUGGCACAGCAUCGUCCAGUUACCUCAGUGAUGACACAAAACCAUAUCAGCCACACCCACAAUUUAUAGAACCGCAAACUCUUGCAAACGUUUCAAGAGAGAGGAACACUGCACUGAUAAGGAACAUUGCUAUAACUAUUAUUAUUAGUAGUAUUAUAAUGAUUUAAACAAGUUGGGACAACCCUUCAGUUAACUACUGUACCUAACAAUUAUCCAGUAGUAGUGAUUAUGGUCCCUCAAUAUACAUUUAACAUAUUACAACAUAGUCUAUGUGUUACAGCACUACUUUUGGUGUCCCCCUCAGGAAUUGCUCCUGAGAAAAUUUCAUGUAAUUGUCCCCUCCAAGGUUGAUAUCAGAUUUUCGCCCCUGGUCCAAUCAGAUAAUACAGACCUUCUUCUGACAGCUAUCUUGAUUGAUAGCUAACUAUUCAGAUGUGUUCUGCAGGCAUUGCACAUGUGGAUUGUUAGCGGUCAUUUAACUAAUGUAGUUUAGCUGUCAGAGUAAAAUCAUGGACAAGUUUUUAAUACGUGCAGUUCCCUCUUCAUCUACUGCUGCUUCCAAUCUCAACAACAAGGCAGCCAACCCAGGCCCUGUCAAGAAGAGAGAACACGAACCCAACAUCAUUCGAUAUGGUUUUACAUACACUAUCGUUCCAAAAUUACAUACGCUACCGUUCACAUUUUGUGUCCAUUAAAAUAACAUAAAAUUGAUCAGAAAUACAGUGAAAUACAGACAUUGUUAAUGUUGUAAAUGACUGUUGUAGCUGGAAACUGCAGAUUUUUAUGGAAUAUCUACAUAGGCGUACAAAGGCCCAUUAUCAGCAACCAUCACUCCUGUGUUCCAAUGGCACGUUGUGUUAGCUAAUCCAAGUUUAUAAUUUUAAAAGGCUAAUUGAUCAUUAGAAAACCCUUUUGCAAUUAUGUUAGCACAGCUGAAAACGUUUGUGCUGAUUAAAGAAACAAUAAAACUGUCCUUCUUUAGACUAGUUGAGUAUCUGGAGCAUCAGCAUUUGUGGGUUUGAUUACAGGCUCAAAAUGGCUAAAAACAAAUACAUUUCUUCUGAAACUCGUCAAUCUUUUCUUGUUCUAAGAAAUUAAGUCUAUUCCAUGCGAGAAAUUGGCAACAAACUGAAGAUCUCGUGCAACGCUGUGUACUACCCCUUCACAGAACAGCACAAACUGGCCCUAACCAGAAUUGAAAGAGGAGGACCCGGUGCACAACUGAGCAAGAGGACAAAGUACAUUAGAGUGUCUAGUUUGAGAAACAGACGCCUCACAAGUCCUCAACUGGCAGCUUCAUUAAAUAGUACCUGAAAAACACCAUUCUCAACGUUAACAGUGAAGAGGCGACUCUGGGAUGCUGGGCUUCUAGGCAGAGUUGCAAAGAAAAAUCUAAAUAUCAGACUGGCCAAUAAAAAGAAAAGAUGGGCAAAAGAAAGAAGACACUGGAUAGAGGAACUCUGCCUAGAAGGCCAGCAUCCCGGAGUCGCUUCUUCACUGUUGACGUUGAGACUGGUGUUUUGCGGGUACUAUUUAAUGAAAAACGUUAAACAGCAUCUUGUCAAGCUGCAGGGAAAGUUUUGCGACUUCUUCCCGGAGGAGAACAGGAGACAAGACGACUGGAUACGGGACCCCUUUCAAGUGGAGAUGGAAAGUGUCACAUUGCCAAGCAACGAAGAGGCUCAGCUGGUGGAGCUGUCAUUUGAUCACGGACUGAGCAUGCGCAUCCCGGAAAUGACACAGCCACAGUUCUGGUGCAGCUUAGUGGGAGAGUAUCCUGCUCUCGCCUGUCAUGCAAUCAGAAUCAUGCUACCUUUCAGCACUACCUAUCUGUGUGAAAGUGUCUUCUCUGCUAUGGUCGUGCUGAAAACUAAAAGCGAAAACUAAAACAGAAAUCUCAUAAUUCAAAUUUCUCAAACAUACAAGUAUUAGACACCAUUUUAAAGAUAGAUUUCUCGUUAAUCCAACCACAGUGUCCGAUUUCAAAAAGGCUUUUUCGGCGAAAGCACAACAUAUCAUUAUGUUAGGUCAGCAACUAGUCACAGAAAGCAUACAGCCAUUUUCCAACCAAAGAGAGGAGUCACAAAAAGCAGAAAUAGAGAUAAAAUGAAUCACUAACCUUUGAUAUUCUUCUUCAGAUGACACUCCCGGGACAACAUGUUACACAAUACAUGUAUGUUUUGUUCGAACAAAAGUUCAUAUUUAUAUCCAAAAACCUCAGUUUACAUUUGGCUUUGCCUCUAAAACAUCCCGUGAAUUUGCACAGAGCCACAUCAAUUUACAGAAAUACCCAUAAUAAACUUUGUUAAAAGAUACAAGUAUUAUGCACAGAAUUAUAGAUAUACUUCUCCUUAAUGCAACCGCUUUGUCAGAUUUCAAAAAAGCUUUACAGAAAAAGCAAACCAUGCAAUAAUCUGAGUACGGCGCUCAGAGACCAAAACAAGCCAAACAUAUAUACCCGCCAUGUUGCGGAAUCAACAGAAGUCAGAAAUAGCAUUAUAAAUAUUCACUUACCUUUGAUGAUCUUCAUCAGAAUGCACUCCCAGGAAUCCCAGUUCUACAAUAAAUGUUUGUUUAGUUCGAUAAAGUCCAUAAUUUAUGUCCAAAUACCUCCUUGUUGUUCGCGCCUUGAGUUCACAAAUCCAAAUUCAUGACGCGCGAUCACUAGGUCCAGACGAAAAGUCAAAAAGUUCCGUUACAGUCCGUAGAAACAUGUCAAACGAUGUAUAGAAUCAAUCUUUAGGAUGUUUUUAACAUAAAUCUUCAAUAAUUUUCCAACCGGAGAAUUCCUUUGUCUUUAGAAUUCCUUUGUCUUUUUUGCAAUGGAAUGCAGGUCGUUCUCACGUGAACGCUCGUGGUCAGCUCAUGCCACUCUGGCAGACCUCUGACUCAUUCAGUUCCCAUUCGCCUCUCCUUUACAGUAGAAGCAUCAAACAAGGUUCUAAAGACUGUUGACAUCUAGUCUAGCCUUAGGAAGUGCAAUAUGACCCCAUAGACACUGUAUAUUCGAUAGGCGAUGAGUUGAAAAACUACAAACCUCAGAUUUCCCACUUCCUGAUUGGAUUUUUCUCAGGUUUUCGCUUGCCAUAUGAGUUCUGUUAUACUCACAGACAUAAUUCAAACAGUUUUAGAAACUUCAGAGUGUUUUCUAUCCAAAUCUACAAAUAAUAUGCAUAUGUUAGCAACUGGGCCUGAGUCGCAGGCAGUUUACUCUGGGCACGCUUUUCAUCCAAACGUGAAAAUGCUGCCCCCUAUCCCAAACAGGUUAAGAACAAAUUCUUAUUUACAAUGACGGCCUACCCCGGCCAAACCAGGACGACGCUGGGCCAAUUGGGCGCCGCCCUAUGGGACUCCCAAUCACAUCCGGGUGUGAUACAGCCUGAACAGCCAGCAUGACCUCCGAUUUGCCCUGUCAACCAUCACCCCAGACUUCAAUAAACUUAUCAAACUGAAGAAACACCACCAGCUUUCCCACUGAUAGGCCACACACAAACACGCACACACAAUAAAUAAACAGGUUAAUGAGUUAUUGUUCACUAGGUUAAUUAUUAUUGUUAAUUAAUUCUGACAUAAAUAUUACAUGUCAUUGAACUGGUUAAAAACGUAUACCUUUUUUAAAAAAACGUCACGGUUGUGAAACUAUUCACAUGGUAAUUGAUGAUUAAGAAUUCUUAAUGAUUGUUGUUUUUUCUAUUUUAAAAACUGGUAUGUGUUACUGUUCAUUAACAUUAUUGUACUGGUUUUAUUAAUGUCAUGUUCUGAGUCUGAUCAUUUAUUCCACCCCACUCCUGAACUGGUCGCCUAAUUAAAAUGGCUUAUUCACUUGAAUUUGUAAUAAAUGUUUUCUCAGUUAAUAUGGCUGUGUAAUGUCUUUCUUUAAUAGCAUAAUAUUAGCCCUUUUGCGACAGAAUCUAUUUUGCAAGUCAAGCCUGCUCAAGAAGGCAGCUGCAAAACAACAUUACAAAAUGUAAUCAUCAACCGUCCAUAAUAUUGGGUCGUGACUCAAUUGUCACUGUCAAAUUUGGGUCCCCAGGCAAUACCAGUUGAUGUUCACAAAUGCCUAUUUCAUUAUUUUCAUUCCACUACUGAAUGUUUUCCCCAAGACACUUUUAAUGAGAAAAUGUAUCUAGUUUAUCAAGUUUAUGCUGAUUUUUAGUUGAGACGUGUA